CCUACGGGAGGCAGCAGUGGGGAAUAUUGGGCAAUGGGCGCAAGCCUGACCCAGCAACGCCGCGUGAAGGAAGAAGGCUUUCGGGUUGUAAACUUCUUUUCUCAGGGACGAAGAAAGUGACGGUAACUGAGGAAUAAGCCACGGCUAACUACGUGCCAGCAGCCGCGGUAAUACGUAGGUGGCAAGCGUUAUACGGAUUUACUGGGUGUAAAGGGCGUGGAGGCGGGAAAGCAAGUCAGAUGUGAACACCAUGGGCUCAACCUGUGGACUGCCUUUGAAACUGGUUUUCUUGAGUACAGGAGAGGCAGACGGAAUUCGUGGUGUAGCGGUGAAAUGCGUAGAUAUUAGGAGGAACACCAGUGGCGAAGGCGGUCUGCUGGACAGCAACUGACGCUGAGGCGCGAAAGCGUGGGGAGCAAACAGGAUUAGAUACCCCAGUAGUC
rnacentral:rRNA from 1 species